AUAUUGCACAAUGGGCGAAAGCCUGAUGCAGCGACGCCGCGUGGAGGAUGAAGGCCUUCGGGUCGUAAACUCCUGCCCGGGGGGCUGAACACUGACAGUACGCCCGGAGGAAGCACCGGCUACCUACCUGCCCGCAGCCGCGGUAAUACGUAGGGGGCGAGCGUUGUCCGGAAUUACUGGGCGUAAAGCGCGCGCAGGCGGCUUGUUAAGUCAGGUGUCAAAAUGCGGGGCUCAACCCCGUAUCGCACUUGAAACUGGCAGGCUUGAGUGCAGGAGAGGGAAGUGGAAUUCCUAGUGUAGCGGUGAAAUGCGUAGAUAUUGGGGGGAACACCAGUGGCGAAGGCGACUACCUGGACGAAAACUGACGCUGAGGCACGAAAGCUAGGGGAGCAAAC
rnacentral:rRNA from 1 species